UCUUCCUCUCCACUGGCACCUUGCUGAUGGCUGAGCCCUAGUCAUGCUCAGUUAAAAAGCAUGGACACGACUGACUUCACUAUGCAAGUACUGUUCUUACUUGUAUCGUCAGUGCUCACGUCCUUUAACCUUUCUCCCUAUCUCCUGGACAUAUUUCAUGUGAUGCAAAAAGCAGUUGAGCAUUAAUCCUGCAGCCACUGAUCCGUGCUACUCAGCCCUCGCGACGCAGCCCAGCCCUCCUCCUCCCGCUUCGGCCCCUUUGCUUUCCCCUGCUGUCUCGCCCUCCUACGCCAAACGCAUUUUUCCGCCGGGACACCAAGCCGCCCGGACGGGAUCAUCGCUGCCGAGGCAAAGCACGAGAACCCGGCGCGGAGCUGGGCGCCCCGGCGGCAUCCGUGCGACGCACCGCAGACCCAGGCCACUGCGUCGUCCACCCGGUCGGUGACGUCCACAGCAGAAGGUGAGAAGGAGAGUCCCUUACGCCAGAAAACAUGCCCUGUGCUCUUGCCAGCACGUAAGGAAAAAGCACAACUUCUUUUUUUUGAAAUGCUGUGCACUCACACGGAAGCUGCAAACGAACGUGCCCUGAGGAGGGCUUUCCACCUUGCGUCCUUUGCCAUAGAUCAUAAAACGUGUCGCUAUAUAUUUUCUUUACCAACCAGGAAACCUUGGCUGUCAUUCGGGAAUGCUACUGGGAUAUAAUGGUACCACCCGGCCUCAGGCCAGCCCGCGUGUGACUGUACUUAUCAGCACCAACACGGCCCUGGAAGGGCUUAACCGAGGUCGGACCGCAGCGUACCGGGUGCAGGGGACACAGCUCCUAAGAGAGGAUCCCAGCUCUAAAAUGCUUAAUCAGGCAGCAGGAAGGAGACAGGAGUCUUUUACGACCCUGGUUUAUAGGUGUGGAAGGUGUUUGCCAAAGGAUGACAUAAAUUGCGCAAACCUUGGGCAGAGCCAAGAAUGGAGCCCCAAGAAUAACAGCAAUUUACUGCCGUAACCUGCGGUCCGUCCCCGUGCUCGUCCUGUGAGCCCGCGGCGCACGCCGGCCGCUCGGCCAGCCCCGCUCCUCCUCGGGACGUUGGCUGCACGACUGCGCUUCCAGGGCUGCUCUAAUUAAAACGGGGAAUUACACAGUAGUUAAACCAGAGCUUUUUUGCUGAUCAUGUUGAAGAUAGUGACCUGUUUAUGCUCGCCGCAUCUCUUAUUAAAAAUAAUGGAGCGGAUUUCACCUUCGUAGCUUAUUUCCAGGGAGUCGGCCUCCGUGCCCCCCCAAGCGAUAAUAGCUGCCGUGCCACUGUAAUUCCCGCGCAGUAAAGCAUGUCCAGACCUGUUACCUCCUGUUUGUUCUCAGCAUGGAUCAUCGCUUCUUCCACCACCGCACGAGCCAGACAAAAAAAGAAAAGUGGUCUCCCAGCAGAGGUGUUUAAUAAGUUUAGCACAGCUCUGCGAGGAGAUGCAGGGACAAGCAAGGCAGGGGAAGCUCCGAGAGGCAACAGGGCUUCACAGUGCUGGCUCCGGCACCGGGAAACGGCCACGCUAAUUGGCCCAAGGGAAGCAAACAUCGGCUGCUGGCGGUGCCACGCGGCAACCCGAGGUGAGGGCAGAGCGAGAGCUUCUCUUUGUUCGCUGCUCCUGUUUGCUACCUUGCAGAAAGAAGGGCUGCCGCAUCUUUUUUGUACCUCAGAGGUAUUGCCAGCCUUAAGCCAGCAAGAAAUAAUGCAAGGAUUAUUUUGAGCAAUUUAGGGUGUUUUUUUUUUUUUUUUUAAAGCUUUCCAGCAGCAAUCUACUUUUAUUCUGCACGUGGACACAUUCAAUACCAAAACCACAGAGUGCACCUAAGCAAAGCAAAGGCAAGCAUUCAUGCAAAGCCAAAGUAUGACUUUGUGUCCAGUCCUCCAAUUAACUUUACUGGCAAUUUGUAAUGUGGAAUUCAUAAAAAUCCUGAGGCAGUUUUUUAUUUUGCAGGCAAGUGUCUUUUAUCUUGCGGGAAAUUUCCUUUUUCUUUCUGUGCAGCAAAAGCAAACACAUCAAUAAAUAAGCAAUGAAUCUCCAAAAACUUUCUUUGACUCAAAGGCAACCUGAAAUUAUACAGCCUAAUUCACUUGGAGGGCUCCCGCCCCGGCCGCGCGUGCGCCAUUCCCGGAGGCAAGCACUCUGUUUCUGAAGGACAGUCCAUUAACCAUCACGAACGCCCCUCUCCCCCUCGGCUUAGCGGCUCCGAUCGCGCCCGCCACUGACGCGCUCUCGCCAUCCCCUCCCUGCGUCGAGCUCCUGGAUUCAGCUCUGGCUGCUGGCACAAACAGCCACCUCCUUUGCCGGCAUCACUUCCCUUUGCAGACGUCUCUGCUCUGCGUGCAGAGCAUCCACAGAAAACGACCCAGGAUCUCCGCUGCCCUCCCUGCCCGCCCUCCGCCCCGGUCCCUGCGGCCGGACGCGCGUGUCGUGAUGGGGGGUCGCAGGCGGCAACAACUGCUUCCAGCUCAGCAGGGACCAGGUCCCGCUGCCACCGCUUUCCACCCUCCAAGCGCUUCGGUGCUCGACUGAAGCACAUCGGCAGUUUCAGCGAGUCCCCCGAGUUCUUGAGGGGUUUUUGUUACUGAGAAAAGAGUCAGAUGACAUUUCCUUCCAAGAAAAGCAAGUAUCAUAAAAAGACGCUUUAGCUGUCUGUUGCCUAAAGCAGCCGGGAACUGGGUAUGUCAGGUCACGACGUGCACCGGAGGGGCACCGAUUUUGGCUGCCUGCCUGGUCUGAGCCAUUUGGAGAAGGCUUGAUUAGCCCCAGCAGAUGGGUCUUGGGAUAGCGUCACUCACAGCUCUUGGGGACCGUCGCUCGGAACAACAGAGGGGCUAACAGAGGGCCCAAGCCCGGGUCCAAGUCCUGCUACAUGGUGUGGACGCGCUGGAGAUGUUCCCGCCUGCGGGACAGCAAGGUCCCAGCCACCCACGUAGCACUGGUUCAAUACCCAGCCGGAGGGAGAAGCUAAGGCCUGCAUCUCAAUAGAAACUGCCGAGACCGCUCCAGCCCUGUUUUCCUGAAACCUGCAAGAGAAAGGACUCCUGAGAGAGAAAGAAAAAUUUCAAAACUCGGCUCCAGUCCAAGAGCUGUCCCAAGAGGGAAAGAAAAAUUGCAAAGGUCGGCUCCAGUCUGCAAGCUGUAACAGCCAGCUCCUGACGCGCAGCGUAGCUGAGCACCGCGCUUCCCCGUCACGCUGCGACGUUGCCCUCAGGGACAGAGGAUACUCGCUACUGGAGCCACCUGGAACAUUUCUGACAAAAACAAGCUGCUCUAUCUUGGCUGAUGGUCCACAGGAGGGUGUCUCAGGGGAGACAGAGGAUGGGCUGAGUGUUUGGCACUAAGGGAGGAGGUGGAGGUGCGAGUCUGCCAGCUCUACUCGGGGUGCUGUGUACAAAAUAAUGUGGGUUAUGUGAAAAAGCACAGGGAAAAUAACCACAUUAAAGACUGCUGUGCAGAUAACACUCCCCUUCUGCCGUGAGGGAGAGGCCAGAGCAGAAUGUGUGUGAAAGAGACACUGGUUGUAAGGGGAAGCAGGGGUGAGACAUACCGUCCGGCUUCCCACGUAAGGCAGGGGCCCCCGAGGUUCUCUGCAGCGAUUUGAGGUAAGGACGUUACUUCUCUUCAACCACACUCAAAACCGCUCAUCCAGGGAGCCCACAAUGUUCUGCAGCCUACGUUGGAGCUGUUCCAGUUGAUGGCACCAGCUGUCCUAGUCCCAGGCCUCACCCCAUGCAGCCAUCAGCUGUCUGGGGACAAGAGGAUCAAGAGCUCAGGUGCAGAAAGGAUCAGGCUUGGUGGCUAAGAGAGGGCUCCGCGGAGGAGGGUGGAAAGACAGUGUAGGACUGGCAAACUCAUCAGCACCUGCACCCGGCAGCAACAGUGGCUCGGACUCCACUGGCAAGUCCAUCAUCGUCGUCCUCACCACACAACCACAUACAUGGCCCCCAUGGGAAGUCCUGGUUUACCUGAGAUUUCGGAAAUGGGCUCCUGUCCUGGAAAGCUGUUCUCAAUUCAUUAGUGUAUGUGAAUUCCCCAGCAGCUAUGGAAAUAUUUGCACAGCAUAGUCAAAGGAGUGGGUGGAUUUCUCCAUUAAGUCACCCAUUUGCAAUUUUUAAUGGAAAAUUAUGUGCAUUGCUUCAAUUCUGCUGGGAUACAUGGAGAAGAAAUGCAAGGGUCAACAAAUCAGUUAUUAAUAUUACACACAUGUACAGAUGAAAGCAACAGCAGUUUGUCACUCAUCUGAAAGCUGACAGGAAUACAGCAGUAUAACAGGGUCUUUUGCAAAUUCAGACUGCAAUGCUGUUCCUGACACUGGCAUUUAGUGACAGCUUUUUGUCAAGGAGGGGAGGAGAAAACAAAGCUUUGCUUUGGACCUGAUAAAUGGAUCUCCCCAGAGUACUCUAGGAAGAGCUGCAAGAAAAAAAAUACACGGGUUCUCUAGUUGCAUAAAUUAUGUGUGAGGCGCUUUAGUAGGAAUGGGGCUUUAUCACAACAUAAUUUUCAGAAGAGUAAGAAAAGGGAGGCAGUAAGGUUUUGAAGGCUGUGACAACGAUAUAAUAUGUUGUAGAGAUGGUGAUGAACACCUGUAAGUAUUUCCCUGUGCAUAUCUACCCACACUUUCCAGGGAUGGAGGCAGAAGAGGGGAGCUCUUCCAUUAACCCUUUGAGCCAAGCACCCCCGACUUGCGGUACAGCCUUUCAGGGCAAGCAAAACGCAGUUUCCAGGUCUCUCCCACUUGCAUUCAACCCGUCCUGCCCAUCGUGAGACUGUUUCGCAGGCAGACCGAGGCUCGGCACAGCUGCGUCCAGCAGAGCAUCACGUCCGUGUACCACCCUCCCAGGUCUUCGGGGCAGUACUUCCAAAAACGGCCUUUCUGGAUGCUCAUGGUCUUCUCCCGACUUACCAGCCUGCAGUCCUCUUGCAAACAGACCGUUAUAGCUUGCACUGACUUGCCCGAUACUCUCGCAGUUGGACGAUGAGCGGAGACUCCGUACUGAUGUUAGUAAUAGUGACGAAACAGAGUGACAGAUUUCAGUUAGCUCCAUCGGUGCUAACCAGUUUUUGUACUGGAGAGGCCAUCACACAGUCCAUUUACUGCAGUUUCCACCCUGCCCCUCUGGAGAAAGCACUGGAAAAGCUUCUGUUUUAUAUAGUAAUAACCAAUAAGGAGCUCACAGUAGAGAGAAAACUGUACAUUAAAAACCCAGCACAAUGAUUAUCAAAUUCACUGCUGGUUUAACAGAAUACAGAUUGAAUAGAGUGAAUGAACUGUGCCAGCUGCAAAACUUCAGACAGCUGGAGUAUGAAAAAAGCAGCCCUGGCUGCUAGGAAUAAUCUUCACCUCUUCUGAAGGAGAUAUUUCUACAGCGAAUGUAUUUUUAAGUGAUUUGAAAAAAAAAAGAUCUUGUGCAAAGAUGAUGUUGCUUUUUCUCAAUGUUUCUCUGAAAUAAUUACAAACACAACAGCUCUUCAGAAGAUCAAUAGCUAGCAUCACAAAAAUAUCCCAGCACAGACUGAUUGUUGCUCAAGAAAAAAAUAUUAUUACUAAGAUUCAGCUUUACUUCUUUGUAUUAAAUAGAGAAUAUUUACAGCUCAAGGUCUUGUUUCAAGCUUUGAGAUGUGAUUUUUUUAGUUACGCAUUAAUCUUAUACGUUCACAUCAUCUACCAUCAUUCGUUAAGUACUUAGGUUCAUUCAGAAGAUCUUGGAGAUAGCUAGGAAAGUUAACUAUCAGAGAAGUCUUCAAUCUCCUUGCUGCUGGGAAGAAGAAAAAUCCCACACCGCAGAAGAAACCAAGUACAAAUUACUGCCUAAUUUAUAUGAAGAUAUUUAAGAUGCAAAACAAGGAAAUCUGGUAUGUCAUAUUAUGUACAUUUACUAUUAAGAUUUUAAGAGUCAAGAAUUUAAUAUAUUUAAAAGUAACUCCAAAUCCAAUUUUAGUGCAGAGAUGCAACUGAAAACAGAGCGUAUUCUAGGCUCUAGCAUAGGGGGGAAAUCCCCACCAAAAAUGUGGUCUUGGAAAGUUAGAGGAGUCCUAUAAGGUCUCUCUGGUACUAGGAAAACUCGUUCCAUUUCUCUACACGAGUGGAAGUGCAUUUCUCAUCAAACGUCUGCGUACGCCAGCACACCACGCUCACAGGACAGGGACGCAGAUAUCCAGACACAGGAUUGCGAUUCGCAUUACAGUAUUGCCGCCUAAAGAUCUUAGUCCCAUUGUACAGCACAAGUUCACAAGGCUCAAAGUCAAGAGCAGCAGCCUUCAACCAUGCAAGACAACGACAUCAUUCUCCUCCUCAGUUUAAGCUUUCGCUUCUUGUCACCUCUAAGUUGCGCCCAAAACUCUCAAGAGCACUAUGUAGCCCUUAAGCCAAGGGUUAUGGACCCCUCAGCAAAGCAAAGUACCACCACUACCUCCAUCUUUCUCAUGAGGACCUGCGCCCAGAAAGACCGAAGUGACCUACGUGACAUCACGUAGGGAUCCUGUCCGAGAGUCGGGGAUAGCCCACACUCCCACCAAAGCCCAGCCUGGCUCUUUAACCACACUAAUCUGCCUUGCUUUUUGAAACGGUUGAAGUUUUCAGUUCCAGUUCUUCACGUCCUGCUCGGCAUGUUAAUAGGCCGUUGCGGUGGAUAAUGCUUCAGCCUCCCAUUGCAGAAAUGCGCAAUCUAGGAGAACGGUAACAGGUAACAGACAGAAUUCAUGAAUCGUUAUUAAUUAUAAAAGCCUUUGGAUAAUAUUUUUCCCAAUGAAAUAACAGGUAGAAAGGUCAGUGCAAUUAGCAGAAGCGCCCAAGGCCUGACGUUGUGCACUUGGCCAGACUUUAAUUAGUCAAAUGGCAACAUGUUUGUACAAAUCUUGACAAUUAAAGCCAGCAGCUAAUAUCACUCACAAUGCUUGGCUAAACUGUGCAUAGAUAAAAAUUGCAAUGAAUAUAAAUCAAAACUGAAGCUAUAAUGCAGCCUCUUAAACUCAUUUUCUUUUCUCUUUUUCCUUUUCUUUGUCAUUUCAAAAAAACCAGUAUUUGGCAACAGUGCAGAGUUGUAUGCUGUCGGGGUUCAGGUUAUAUUUUGGUUAUGGGAGGAUCUUUUUUUUUAAAAAAAAAAAAACCCUCAAAUAUUGAAGUAUUUCUACAUUUUGUAGCAGCCAACACAGAACCAACAAAACACCUCUGAAUGUCCCUUCUUCCUGCCUCUGUCUUUUGCCCAUCCUCGUAGCAGCCUAAGGCCUCACAACGCAAACUUUCCAGGCAGGAGCCGCGCUCCUGCCACGACGCACCGACUUCAGUCGUGCUCAGAGGUCCUCCUUCAUCAGCGUGACUGCAGGACCUGAGCCGGAGGGUACACAGAUUUGAAAACCUAUCGCCACAGUCAGCCACGCUACUCUGCAGCACGGCCAGGAAUCAGGGGGACGCGGUCACAGCAACCUCAGCUCCUCGCACAGGAGUUACUCUCUCGCGAGCCCACAGACACCAGCACUAAUGCUGAGCGCCAUUAACCGGCUGCCUAAUAAUAAAACCCCUACUUUUUUUUAUUUUUAUUUUUUUUAAAUGAUCAGGGCCAAUGGAAAUAACAGAGAUUCUGAAUUUUAGAGGUCCUCUUUCUCACUGUAUUUUAAGUAUUUUACUUUUGACAAAACUCUACUUAUAAGUAAUAUCAUUUAAAGUAUUAAAGGGCAAAUUCCUGUUAUUUGCGUGGUAGCAGAAAGCUUUUCCCCUCUCCCUGGUCAGAGUGAACAUUUUGGCAAAAUAACUUGCAGCAUUACUACAAGGAAAUGAAGUGAUUAUUUUUCAUGAUAGCACCAGCCCAUCUCCCUGGCUUACGCUUGAUGCAGGUUUCCAUUAGUUUCAGCCGUAUAAAUAACAAGAACAUUUUUCAGCAAGGAAUUAGUCCGUUAUGCUUUCUGGCGAUAGGCAGAAUGGAAAGGGCACGUAGGCACUACGUUAACAAAUUAGCCAUUUCAUUCCUUUUCUCUCUUUCGAGUUUUCGUGGGUACUUCUAGACAGCACAACGGCUCAUCCUCCAGGCAGUCCAAUUAAAAAAAAAAAAAAGUCAGAUUUGGUGAUUCAAUGUUUCAAUACAAAUACUGUCUACAGCAUUUUUUCUUAUUUUUUCAUGACAUCAACAGUUGGCAGAAUAAAAAAACAUUUAAUUUCAUUUGUUGUUCAUAGGGCUGACUUCUCCUCCACUUACAGUCUGCUGGGUUUUCUGAAAGGAACAUUUUUACAUCACAGUGACAGUGUUUCAUUUUCUUCAUAAAAACACGUUUUCAGAUAUCUGCGGUUAUAGUCAUGCAUUUGAAGCAGGCUCUCAUGUAUUGCAAGGUUUAACACUUACCUCUCCCUCCCCACUUAAAAAAAAAUGAAGUCCCCUGGAUCUUUGGGUUAUCAGCACCGGUUUCUCAAAACGCUCCUGCAGGUUAUUUGUUCCAUCAGUCCCCUGGAGCUCGGCAGCACUGUGAAGCAGGAGAUUUUCCCGGCCAACGUAGCCAGCAGCAGGCACGAACCUGUAUGUUGCAUCUUGCCGGCAGGACGACAACGCAUCCCAUCUCCCCGGACCGAUGGCAGGGCAGCGAGCGGCCCAGUCACCCACUGCACUUCCUCAUGGUGCUGGUUUGGCUGCUAAACAAAGAGCACUUCCCCCAGCAAAUAGCCACUCGCUUAGAUAACGCAGCACAAUCCGGCACAAGGGCUGAUCAUCUGGAACAUGUUUCAUAGAGUUCAGCUACGCACUGAACUCUAAAAUACCCCUAAGAAGGUGCAGAAAAGCAAGCAUGAUUGACGGGUCAUUUUUAUUUACUGACAGAUCAUUUACAGUCUAGGCAUGUGUAGUAUGAAAAAUGGGAGGAUUUGGAAGGCUUUUUACAAGCAGCCCAUUCUGCAAGACCUUGCAUUUUAGGGGAAGCUCUGCAAACCUCUUCCCCUCCCCACUGCUAAUUUCUGGCUAGGCAAUGAGAAAUGGUAUUAAAAGCUUUUUAUAACAGAGAACAAGAUUUCAGUUGAACUCAAACUAUGUGAUACAGAUAGAAAAAGCAACUAUAUUAGAACAUGUAAUGGAAAGCUGUUUCUUAAGGUAACAGUUCAUUUGGAAGACGACUGUUGAAAAGCUGCUUUUGUACUGCUGACAAUGCCUGAAUGAAAUCAGUGACUCUUCAGCGACUUCAAAGAAAGUGCAGCUAGAUCCUACUCUGCUGGAGCUUUUACUGAGGUGUAAAACUCAUUACUAACAAAGGGCUAAAAGCUGCAAAACUUUGGUCUUGAAAGUUCCAUUGUUUAGAUGAGGAGAGACCUAGAAAAAUUGGGUUUUGAAUGGACUGUGAAGCCCAGAGUUAGAACAGAGGUUUGAGGUACUUGUGCUUACAAACACAAAAAUUCAGCAUGAGGUACUACUUUAGGAUCUCUCAUCUGCUAGGCCAAGUAACUGGAUCACAGCUGCUUUCUUCUGUCCGAAGAGAAUGCCAUUACUAUCAGCAUGAGAUAAAUACUUUCUGAGCCUGGGAUGAAGUUGGACCAGUCGCAAAUGAGUGACCUGCCAAAUAGACAGCAGGUACAAAGAGAAAAAAGUGCUUAUAAGCAUAUGGGGACUAGCCACUUUCAUCCAGAUGUGCAGAAAGCGGAGACCUUCCCACAAAUGGAGCAAUACAUGAGACAGACUGCAUGGAGAUACUUGGGCAUCAACCUUUUCAGGUUGAAAAGUAUUUCUCCAAGAGGAUCAAAACAGUUGAAGGCUGUGCAAAUCUGUCAUUAUCUUCAGACUUUACCAGGUCUGCUUCAGACCUCCAGCAUGGUGGAAUGGGCAAGGGACAAUUUGGAAACAUGAGAAAUAGCAGCCAACUGCAUUACCUUCAAUCACAGCUACUGUAGUCUUAGAUAACAGAGGUAUAAAUCCCCAGGUGGGCACCCUCUGCAACACUGAUCAGCUGGUUUUACAUGUGCAGUGUACAUAAAUAAAGCCCUAGUUUGACAUUUCAAUCUGA